CCUACGGGAGGCAGCAGUAGGGAAUCUUCCACAAUGGGCGAAAGCCUGAUGGAGCAACGCCGCGUGGGUGAAGAAGGUCUUCGGAUCGUAAAACCCUGUUGUUAGAGAAGAAAGUGCGUGAGAGUAACUGUUCACGUUUCGACGGUAUCUAACCAGAAAGCCACGGCUAACUACGUGCCAGCAGCCGCGGUAAUACGUAGGUGGCAAGCGUUAUCCGGAUUUAUUGGGCGUAAAGGGAACGCAGGCGGUCUUUUAAGUCUGAUGGGAAAGCCUUCGGGUUAACCGGAGUAGUGCAUUGGAAACUGGGAGACUUGAGUGCAGAAGAGGAGAGUGGAACUCCAUGUGUAGCGGUGAAAUGCGUAGAUAUAUGGAAGAACACCAGUGGCGAAAGCGGCUCUCUGGUCUGUAACUGACGCUGAGGUUCGAAAGCGUGGGUAGCAAACAGGAUUAGAUACCCGGGUAGUC
rnacentral:rRNA from 1 species